CAGCCGCCACGGUAAUACGGAGGGUGCAAGCGUUAAUCGGAAUUACUGGGCGUAAAGCGCACGCAGGCGGUUUGUUAAGUCAGAUGUGAAAUCCCCGAGCUUAACUUGGGAACUGCAUUUGAAACUGGCAAGCUAGAGUCUUGUAGAGGGGGGUAGAAUUCCAGGUGUAGCGGUGAAAUGCGUAGAGAUCUGGAGGAAUACCGGUGGCGAAGGCGGCCCCCUGGACAAAGACUGACGCUCAGGUGCGAAAGCGUGGGGAGCAAACAGGAUUAGAUACCCGCGUAGUCCCUGUCUCUUAUAU
rnacentral:rRNA from 1 species